rnacentral:rRNA from 1 species
UACGUAGGGUGCGAGCGUUAAUCGGAAUUACUGGGCGUAAAGCGUGCGCAGGCGGCUUUGCAAGACAGAUGUGAAAUCCCCGGGCUCAACCUGGGAAUUGCGAUGGAGACUGCAAGGCUUGAAUCUGGCAGAGGGGGGUAGAAUUCCGCGUGUAGCAGUGAAAUGCGUAGAUAUGCGGAGGAACACCAAUGGCGAAGGCAAUCCCCUGGGCCUGUACUGACGCUCAUGCACGAAAGCGUGGGGAGCAAACAGG